UUUAUGCUUGCAUUUUCUCUGCAGAGCUUCCCCGACAGCUUUAGCGUGUAUAUUUAUACAUGUAUAGGCUAUAUUUAAAUAUAUAAAUUGCAAGCGUGGUUCUUCGUCUCAGACUUCCAGAUGUAAACAAGGAGCGAUCGUCUACUGCAGAAAGUUGCAUAGGGUUUCUUUAAGUGCCUUCCUCAAGGACACAAGAAGACAGGAAUUGAACCCACAACUUUUCAGGCUACUGCACGCUAGCACAGCUCCUUAACUACUACACUACCACUGCCCAUGUUAGCAGCUACAGUGCUGUACUCACUUGCCAAAGGUGCCAGACCUUAUGGGUCACAUCAGCAGACACAGCGCAUCACUGUCACUUCUCAUCCAGCAGCAGGCGGCUGGGCCGACAGCCAUGAGUAACAUGUUUCCCUCCAAACACACUGAUGGGUUAUGACCCUCUCUCCUCCCAGCAGCCCAGCGCCCCCCAUCCAGGAGGACCACAGCGGCCUAAACAAUGGACAGCUCGGCAGGCCCGUGCCAGUUUAAU